rnacentral:rRNA from 1 species
UACGUAGGGUCCAAGCGUUGUCCGGAUUUAUUGGGCGUAAAGAGCUCGUAGGCGGCUCAGUAAGUCGGAUGUGAAAACUCGGGGCUCAACCCCGAGACGCCAUCCGAUACUGCUGUGGCUUGAGUCUGGUAGGGGAACACGGAAUUCCUGGUGUAGCGGUGAAAUGCGCAGAUAUCAGGAGGAACACCGAUGGCGAAGGCAGUGUUCUGGGCCAGUACUGACGCUGAGACGCGAAAGCGUGGGGAGCGAACAGG